AUUGAACGCUGGCGGAAUGCUUUACACAUGCAAGUCGAGCGGCAGCGCGGGGGCAACCCUGGCGGCGAGCGGCGAACGGGUGAGUAAUACAUCGGAACGUGUCCUUAAGUGGGGGAUAGCUCGGCGAAAGCCGGAUUAAUACCGCAUAAGCUCUGAGGAGGAAAGCGGGGGCUCCGUAAGGACCUCGCGCUGUUGGAGCGGCCGAUGUCGGAUUAGCUAGUUGGUGGGGUAAAGGCCCACCAAGGCGACGAUCCGUAGCUGGUCUGAGAGGAUGAUCAGCCGCACUGGAACUGAGACACGGUCCAGACUCCUACGGGAGGCAGCAGUGGGGAAUUUUGGACAAUGGGGGCAACCCUGAUCCAGCAAUUCCGCGUGUGUGAAGAAGGCCU
rnacentral:rRNA from 1 species